GAACCGUCUAUUAGUCAAUAUAUUAAAUCAUCAUCAUAUAAACAUAACAUGCAUGCUUAAUCAUGAAUAAUCAAAACUCAUACAUUGCUUCAAAAUGUACUAAAAUUCAUCAUAAAAUAAAAAAAAAAUAAUUUAUCCAGAGCAUAUUGAGAGACAAGGGAGAGAUUGUGAAAUCUGAAUACCAGUGGGAAUCAUUGUCAUCACCAUGCUCGUCAUGAGAACAUCAUAGGAAGCUUUGAUGGCCAAACCAAACCCUAAUCCAUAAAUUGAAGGAAACCCAAAGGCCUCUCUCUAUGGGUGAUGCAGAAGAGAAGAUCAAAUAGAAUUUUCAAAGGAUGCAAAAUUUCGGCAUCAUGAAUCUCGCCUGAAACCUCAGAUCCGACGCAGACCGAAAGAUGCGGAUUAGGAAGAUUAGUUUUCUAGGCCAAGAUUUGGUUUUAAGCCCCAAAGAAAGGAGUAAAGGAGAACGUAACGAACCCUCUAUUUGAAAAAGAAGGCCUAAGCAUUUUGUAUUCCUCCCAAGAAGGAUCUUACUCACUGCAUCAAAUGGCCAAAGGCAAAGGCAAUCCAUCUCCAAAGGCAGAAGAUGAUCCUUAAGCAGGGGUGGAAGGUCCCACCAUCAAUAAGACUCUCGUCAAGGUUCUUGGUAAAGUCUAUUACAUAAUUUUAAUGUUGAUUUUGGAAUUUUUAUUGCAUAAUUUCACUAUAUUUGUUGUUUCAGCUGAUUGAAACUAACAGAAUAUUGUAUUGAUGUAUCGAUGAACAUGCUCUUUGUGUGUGUGGAACUUUCCUCGACAUAAUACAACACAUGUCUAUCACAUAUGCAAGCAUCUUGAUACAGCAGUUAGUAAUAAUGUUUUGCAGCUUUGGUAUUUUACUUUGAUGUAUUAUGUAUCACUGUUACGGGUGAUGAUCGUUUGCAUCUUUAGAUUGGUUUGAAACAAAUACGUUUAUGAUGUUUUUAAA